rnacentral:rRNA from 1 species
UACGUAGGUGGCGAGCGUUGUCCGGAAUUACUGGGCGUAAAGGGCGUGUAGGCGGCCUUUUAAGUCAGACGUGAAACCUUCGGGCUUAACCCGAAACCUGCGUUUGAUACUGAAGGGCUUGAGGACCGGAGAGGACAGUGGAAUUCCCAGUGUAGCGGUGAAAUGCGUAGAUAUUGGGAGGAACACCAGUGGCGAAGGCGACUGUCUGGACGGCACCUGACGCUGAGGCGCGAAAGCCAGGGGAGCAAACGGG